ensembl:snoRNA
GCCCAAUGAUGAGACCAAGGCGAAUGCGAGCCAACUGAACGAGAGGGUUGGGUUCUCCCUUGUCUUGAUUGGCCGGUAAUCUUGGCAGUGUAGCGGAGGUUGGCUGCUCUGCUGUAAGGGCCGGCCUACAGUGACUUGGCCCCACCCACAUGUUUCUCCCGCUAAAGAAACACGGUAGAGAAUAGUGGGAGGGUACUGACAGUGUGACUGACGUGUGUUUGUCUGUGCCUGUAUGUGUGAGGCAGGGAGAACCCCACCUCUCCUCAAUAUUCAGUUGUCCAUGAGCGCUCUUCUUUGUUAAUCUGAGGGCU